rnacentral:misc_RNA from 1 species
GAUGAAGAACGUAGUGAAAUGCGAUAAGUAGUGUGAAUUGCAGAAUUCAGUGAAUCAUCGAAUCUUUGAACGCACCUUGCACCCUUUGGCAUUCCGAAGGGUAUGCUCGUUUGAGUGUCAUUGUACUCUCACACUUCCAAUCUUUGGAUUGGGAGCAGUGGACUUGGGUGUUGCUGCUUACUGUGGCUCACCUCAAAUCGAUUCGUGCACCUCUUGGUUGGACAUAGUACGGCGUGAUAAGUGUCUUCGCCGGCACCUCAGUAGAGGGUGGCUGAUCAGGAGCUCUGUGCUUCAAACCGUCCUCGGACAACAACUGACAACUUGACCUCAAAUCGAGUAGGACUACCCGCUGAACUUAAGCAUAUCAAUAAGCGGAGGA